UGGGACGUGGUGCAUGGGCACGGCGGGUUCUCAUAAUAUUUGAGGAGGAAAAAUGACUAGCCGGCAGGUCGGGGUUCGACUCCCCGCGUUUGAA